UACAGAGGUCCCAAGCGUUGUUCGGAUUCACUGGCGUAAAGGGUGCGUAGGCGGUCGGGUAAGUCUGAUGUGAAAUCUCACAGCUUAACUGUGAAACUGCAUUGGAUACUAUCCGGCUAGAGGAAUGGAGGGGAGACUGGAAUACUUGGUGUAGCAGUGAAAUGCGUAGAUAUCAAGUGGAACACCAGUGGCGAAGGCGAGUCUCUGGACAUUUCCUGACGCUGAGGCACGAAAGCCAGGGGAGCAAACAGG
rnacentral:rRNA from 1 species